CGAGGCCCUCAGAGCCGGUGGCUUUGCACAGGGCCCUAAGCGCAGACCUCGGUGCGUGGGACUGGUGUGGUGGGUUGCAUCACUUGCUGUGCGGGACUGUGAUCCGCUGCAAUCCGCUGCAGUUCGGAGCUAUGGCGCUCGCCGUUCGAGUUGUGUAUUGUGGAGCUUGAGGCUACAAGCCCAAGUAUCUCCAGCUCAAGGAGCAGCUAGAAGAUGAAUUCCCCGGAUGUCUGGACAUUGUGAGUCUUGGAACUGGGGCCAGAGAGUCAUGUGGGUCCCUUGUCUGUCCCUGGGUCCGGGUGGCAGUGG